GACGAACGCUGGCGGCGUGCUUAACACAUGCAAGUCGAACGGAAAGGCCCUGCUUUUGUGGGGUGCUCGAGUGGCGAACGGGUGAGUAACACGUGAGUAGCCUGCCCUUGACUUUGGGAUAACUUCAGGAAACUGGGGCUAAUACCGGAUAGGAGCUCCUGCUGCAUGGGGGGGGUUGGAAAGUUUCGGCGGUUGGGGAUGGACUCGCGGCUUAUCAGCUUGUUGGUGGGGUAGUGGCUUACCAAGGCUUUGACGGGUAGCCGGCCUGAGAGGGUGACCGGCCACAUUGGGACUGAGAUACGGCCCAGACGCCUACGGGAGGCAGCAGUGGGGAAUAUUGCACAGUGGGCGGAAGCCUGAUGCAGCAACGCCGCGUGCGGGAUGACGGCCUUCGGGUUGUAAACCGCUUUCGCCUGUGACGAAGCGUGAGUGACGGUAAUGGGUAAAGAAGCACCGGCUAACUACGUG
rnacentral:rRNA from 1 species